rnacentral:snoRNA from 1 species
CACUCCUAUUUCUGCCCCACAUUCCUUGCACUACCAUGGAAUAAUGGGUUCUAUUCAUGGAGAAGAUAAAGCCCGCAAAUGAGAGCUCCACACUUUUGAUACAACCGUGGUGCCCUUCCAUUUUUGGGAUCGUGAGGAUGCUUCGAACAACCAUUAUGUUUUUCUCAUAAUUAGUGGAUUCGAUGCUUCUCUACAAAU